rnacentral:rRNA from 1 species
GAUGAACGCUGGCGGCGUGCCUAAUACAUGCAAGUCGAGCGAACUGAUUAGAAGCUUGCUUCUAUGACGUUAGCGGCGGACGGGUGAGUAACACGUGGGCAACCUGCCUGUAAGACUGGGAUAACUUCGGGAAACCGAAGCUAAUACCGGAUAGGAUCAUCUCCUUCAUGGAGAUGAUUGAAAGAUGGUUUCGGCUAUCACUUACAGAUGGGCCCGCGGUGCAUUAGCUAGUUGGUGAGGUAACGGCUCACCAAGGCAACGAUGCAUAGCCGACCUGGGAGGUUGAUCGGCCACACUGGGACUGAGACACGGCCCAGACUCCUACGGGAGGCAGCAGUAGGGAAUCUUCCGCAAUGGACGAAAGUCUGACGGAGCAACGCCGCGUGAGUGAUGAAGGCUUUCGGGUCGUAAAACUCUGUUGUUAGGGAAGAACAAGUACAAGAGUAACUGCUUGUACCUUGACGGUACCUAACCAGAAAGCCACGGCUAACUACGUGCCAGCCGCCGCAGUAAUAC